rnacentral:lncRNA from 1 species
AUUCUGAGAGUUGAGCUUUUGUUGCUUCAAUCCCAGCUGCACCUAGGUUCUGUCUUCCAAGAGUCUCUUGUGCUUUCUCCAGAAUCGAUUGCAGGUACUUUCCUUGAGCCUCUAUCCUGAGCUGCAAAUGUCGCUGUACCUGGCUCAGUUUAAAAUAUUUUUAAUAAAAUCGUAACUAUAUGCUUUGUUCUCUCUCUUUCUAUAUGGUUGAUCUAGCCUCUAUUGAUGCUCUAUUAUACACUAUACUAAUGAUUUUUUAAUAGAUUUAUGUGUUUCUACAUGCUUUUGCACUGUUGUUACUAACACUGAUAGCUGCUUUAAACAGAGUAAAUCCACAGAGUACAGUUUAUGAUACCUCAAGCUGCUCGUGUAGCCUCCUCUGAACUUCUAUUUGCAUUUGAAGCGCAUCACUUAUGGGUAAGUUCCUGAUUGCACAAAUAUUGGUCAUUUUUUUCUAAAAAUGCAAUACGUUAGAAUAUAUAAGCAAAUAGCCAUAUUCUUACAUGCUCGGCUGUGGUCCAAUGCUUAAACUCUCACUGUGACCUUCGUCUGCUUCAGGGAGGUUUUCUUCUACCAUGGUCAUCACACCUAAACCAGGUGACUUUAGUUACUUGAGAGAUAUAUUUUGGAGACAGGAAAAUGAGUCUUUAGAUUGAAAUAUUCUUGUAUCUGAGUUAUGAAUAACUAAGCUUACUUGUCUUGUUUAAACCACUGCUAGCUUGUCCAUUAAGAUUCUUGCUCAGCCUAUAUUUCUGGUAGUCAAAUCAUGUUAUCAAUAAUCUUUGUAAAAGCUUAAACAAAUAUUACAGAUCUUUCACUUCUUGACUUAUCACCAUUCUUGUUUUUCGUUAACAGUUUUUCUACCAAGGAAAUUCAUCAACGAGUCAUAUGUAGAAACCUGAUGAGGUUAGGCAUAUCUGUUUAAAG